GUUUUUAAUUUUUUUCUUCUUUCUCUCCUCGAGACUUGAUCUUUUCUCUUCUCUCUUUCUCUAGUUCGCCCUAAAGUUCGUCUUUCUAUUGUUAGUUCAUCUCUGUUAGGCUCUUUUCUGUACUCUAGAUUCCUUUUCUCUGGAGGGUUUAGAUAUUUGGUUUGGAGGCGAGUGGAGACGCGUGGAGAGGAACUCCUUCUCCUGGGGGUUUGAUUCGUCGGAUCCCACUGGCUCAGAUGUGCUUUUGUCUGUAUUAGGUCGCCUUUGACCGAAUUUCUUUGAUAAACUGAAGAUCUGCUUUUCUCUCCAUCUCUCUCGACGGUUGGAUGAUGUUACUCUCAUCAAAUGAGAAAUCCUAUAAGAUUCUGCCUUUAUACAGAUCUUAUCCAAGCAUAAGCUUGUACAUGAGGUGCUUUUUGGUCUUCUAUUAACAACGACAAGUACUUGUGGUCGUGGUCUCGGCGUCAACAAUGGUGGUCUCGGCAUCAGCAGUGGUGGUCUCGACUUCGUCAGUGGUCGUCUCGACUUCGUCAAUGGUAGCUUAGCGCGGUGGAGGAGGCUGAAUAAGCUUUACUGUGUGGUGUUCUUGGCUGGUGGUGUCGGCCUCAAAGAUGAAGAAUAUGAAGUAGCUGAAGUUGACGGCAAAAAGUUUAGAUGUAGGGUUAAUUUUUUUUAUUAUGUUAAUCUUUUUAGGUUUACAUUUGCAAACCGGGUUUUGUAAACCAGAAUUUAUUUGUAAACCAUAAUUAAUUAUAUUUGGUGGUUUAAUUUUUAAUUAA